rnacentral:rRNA from 1 species
GACGAACGCUGGCGGCGUGCCUAAUACAUGCAAGUUGAGCGCUGAAGGUUGGUACUUGUACCAACUGGAUGAGCAGCGAACGGGUGAGUAACGCGUGGGGAAUCUGCCUUUGAGCGGGGGACAACAUUUGGAAACGAAUGCUAAUACCGCAUAAAAACUUUAAACACAAGUUUUAAGUUUGAAAGAUGCAAUUGCAUCACUCAAAGAUGAUCCCGCGUUGUAUUAGCUAGUUGGUGAGGUAAAGGCUCACCAAGGCGAUGAUACAUAGCCGACCUGAGAGGGUGAUCGGCCACAUUGGGACUGAGACACGGCCCAAACUCCUACGGGAGGCAGCAGUAGGGAAUGUUCGGCAAUGGACGAAAGUCUGACCGAGCAACGCCGCGUGAGUGAAGAAGGGUUUCGGAUCGUAAAACUCUGUUGGUAGAGAAGAACGUUGGUGAGAGUGGAAAGCUCAUCAAGUGACGGUAACUACCCAGAAAGGGACGGCUAACUACGUG